rnacentral:rRNA from 1 species
UACAGAGGGGGCAAGCGUUGUUCGGAAUUACUGGGCGUAAAGGGCGCGUAGGCGGCCUGCUAAGUCGAACGUGAAAUCCCUGGGCUCAACCCAGGAACUGCGUCCGAUACUGGUUGGCUUGAAUCCGGGAGAGGGAUGUGGAAUUCCAGGUGUAGCGGUGAAAUGCGCAGAUAUCAGGAGGAACACCGGUGGCGAAGGCGGGUCUCUGGGCCGAAAUUGACGCUGAGGAGCGAAAGCGUGGGGAGCGAACAGG